GUGCUCGCCUGGGCAGCACAUGUGCUAAAGUUGGAGGGAUGCAGAGAUUAGCAUGGCCCUCAUGCAAGGAUGGCACACAAAAAUGUGAUGCAUUCCACAUUUUC